rnacentral:rRNA from 1 species
CCUACGGGAGGCAGCAGUGGGGAAUAUUGGACAAUGGGGGCAACCCUGAUCCAGCCAUGCCGCGUGUGUGAAGAAGGCCUUCGGGUUGUAAAGCACUUUAAGUAGGGAAAAAGGCUCGCUGGCUAAUAUCCAGCGGGAUUGAUACUACCUACAGAAUAAGCACCGGCUAACUCUGU